UUCUCAAGUGUAUUUUUUUGUCAUCUAUUUCUUUUGCACACAGUGUCCUACCAAAUUAAAAUAAAAGUAGGAAAAAAUUUUUGCUUCAAUGGAGGACAUGUCCCAGGAAGUACAACCAAGAAACCCGGAAGUGGGGGAAGACAAAAAAGGAGGCACACAGGUGGGCAGCAGAAAAACAAUUCAAUAAAAUGGAGGGAAGAGCAGAACUAUUCCAGUUUCCUCGCACAGCCCAAAAACAUUCACGGUAGGUUAAUUGAAGACUCUAAAUUGCCCAUAGGUGUGAAUGAGAGUGUGAAUGAUUAUUUGUUUAUAUGUGCCCUGCAGUUGGCUGGUGACCAGUUCAGGGUGUACCCUGUCUCUUGCCCAGCGUUAGCUGAGAUAGGCGCUAGGAAAUAGGCUAGUGAGGAAAAACGGUAUGGAAAAUGGAUGGAUGAAUGUAUUGAAGAGUAGAACACGCUGACCUUUUUUGAUAAAGUAUAGAAAAAUAACUCCGAUGAUAGCUAAUAUGUUGAUGGUAACCGUGGAUUGUGGAUUAUGGAUGUCUGGAUUUGUUUGAAAGGAACCGUUACCUGGUUGAAUAUGAACGACUCAGCAGACAAGCCGUGAAAACUCUCCAUGAGGGACAGAUGACCCGUUCUAAUGGGACCAGUGCAUCAUGCACAAUCUUCGAGGGCCUGCUUGAAGCUCACGCGGCUCUGCUGCCACCUGGUGGUGCUUUGAGGUUUCUGACACGUUGCAUCAAGCAACAGUCGAACUCGGAGGAGGGAAGGAAGUCAUUCGUAAAAUUUUAAAGGUA